rnacentral:pre_miRNA from 1 species
AAUGUACUUCCUCUGUCCAACAAAAGAUGUCUCAACUUUGACUAAAUUUGAAUGUAUCUAUACACUAAGUCAUGUCUAGAUACAUCCAAAUUUUAACAAACUUGAGACAUUUUUUGUUGGACAGAGGGAGCAGUAC